GAAGAGAAAAAAAUGGAAUGGGAGGGGUGUGAGCCUAAAUGUCCUUAUUGAAAACUAAAGUGCUAACGAGCAAGAAAAGACCCCUUACUAUAGUAAGGGGCCCUUUCUUGCAGGAUGCCGGGUGCGCAGGAACGCCCAACCUAUACCUCAGACCCCUUACUAUAGUAAGGGGCCUUUUCUUCCAAGAUGCCGGGUGCACAAGAACGCCCAACCUAUACCUCAGACCCCUUACUAUAGUAAGGGGCCAUUUCUUGUAGGAUGCCGGGUGCGCAGGAACGCCCAACCUAUACAAGAGAUUUCCGCCUUCAUUUGGUCGUGCUGCUAUGAUGUAACGUGCAGUCGUCCCGAGGC
rnacentral:lncRNA from 1 species